rnacentral:rRNA from 1 species
UUGAACUGAAGAGUUUGAUCCUGGCUCAGAUUGAACGCUGGCGGCAUGCCUUACACAUGCAAGUCGAACGGCAGCACGGGUGCUUGCACCUGGUGGCGAGUGGCGAACGGGUGAGUAAUACAUCGGAACAUGUCCUG